ensembl:lncRNA
GUGGUGCUGUGGUGCAGCUGUGGUGUAAAUGUGGUGCAGCUGAGGUGUAAAUGUGGUGCAGCUGAGGUGUAAAUGUGGUGCAGCUGAGGUGUAAAUGUGGUGCAGCUGAGGUGUAAAUGUGGUGUAAAUGUGGUGCAGCUGAGGUGUAAAUGUGGUGCAGCUGAGGUGUAAAUGUGGUGUAAAUGUGGUGCAGCUGAGGUGUAAAUGUGGUGUGCAUGUGGUGCAGCUGAGGUGUAAAUGUGGUGCAGCUGAGGUGUAAAUGUGGUGCAGCUGAGGUGUAAAUGUGGUGUAAAUGUGUGCAGCUGAGGUGUAAAUGUGGUGUAAAUGUGGUGCAGCUGAGGUGUAAAUGUGGUGUAGCUGAGGUGUAAAUGUGGUGCAGCUGAGGUGUAAAUGUGGUGCAGCUGAGGUGUAAAUGUGGUGCAGCUGAGCUGAGGUGUAAAUGUGGUGCAGCUGUGGUGUAAAUGUGGUG